UACGUAGGUGGCUAGCGUUGUCCGGAUUUACUGGGCGUAAAGAGCGCGCAGGCGGUCGUUCAAGUCGAGUGUGAAAGCCCCCGGCUCAACUGGGGAGGGUCACUCGAUACUGAUCGACUCGAAGGCAGGAGAGGGAAGCGGAAUUCCCGGUGUAGUGGUGAAAUGCGUAGAUAUCGGGAGGAACACCAGUGGCGAAGGCGGCUUUCUGGCCUGUUCUUGACGCUGAGGCGCGAAAGCGUGGGGAGCAAACAGG
rnacentral:rRNA from 1 species